ensembl:lncRNA
CUGCGACAGACUGGCACCCUGUCCAGCGUGUACCCCACCUUGUGCCCGAUGCUCCCUGGGAUAGGCUCCAGGUUUCCCCGUGACCCUGAAAAGGAUUAAGCGGUAUACAAGAUGGAUGGAUUUAUGUAAAUCUUAAAAUCUGUUUAUUAUUAGGCCACAAUAAAAAUGAGCAAAACACUUGCAGGUAUUAAAGUUCAUUUAACUUGAAAUCAAAUGCAGGGGUACAUGCGUUUCAUGAGAUCCGCAUCAAAUGGCCUAUUUAUCAAAUUUAAAAUCAGUAAAGACUCUCGAACAGUUUUCCAAUCGCAUGGCAAUCACUAACGUUGACCACCACGCUAAAGCCGGAUCAGUUUUGCCUCAUAAUAAUCCCUGUUAGCGCAGAUAUUAAUCAUUGUUAAAAGCAGAAGGAACAGCUGAUCUGAAGACAGUGGUGUAACGUGUCCGUGCUGAGCUCGAAGGGUGGAUCAGGUCACUUACACACACUGCCACACUCAAUUAGCCAUUUUGCUGCCACUUCUAAAUAAGCAUUCUCACUUCCACUUCAUUAGAGCAGACGGCCAUCUCAGUGUGGGAGCUCGGCUCACAUUGUGCAGUGGGCGUUCAGCACAAACACGCCCUCGCACACUCGCAUGCACCCAGCCUACACACUGAGAGCUGAACACGCACAAAUAUACCAAUUACAGGGGAGAAAAUCGGCACAAACACCCACACGCAAUCCAAACACCAUAAACGAAGAGUGCAGGAAUAUCGCAAAUAAAUAGAUAAAUAAACGCAGUCUGUCUUACUCGUCUAUUUUAAGUCUAAACCCGUGCAGAUGAGGACGACCUUUCGCACGUCAUACACACAGAAGGACUCGGACACUCCAGAUAAGCUAAAUAUGCUAAACGUUAUCCUUACGUUCAUAUUUCUACGUCCGUGUUUUAUUUUCACCGAGAGUCCCUCUUGAGAGAUUUCAGCUCCGAGUUGAUUUCGAGUCAAACGUGAUCUCAGGAGAAAUAUAAACCAACUGAUUUCAUCUGUAUUAAAUGACGUUAUAAGAAAAUGUGCGCCUGCUAAUCCCAACUCUAAAACCCUAAUCAUAACCUUCCUAACUUUUGCAAUAAGAAUUUGCAAUCGUGAGAUCAACAGCCCACUGAAGCUGAGUUUUUGAGUGUGUAUACGGAAAUAAGGGCAGAUUUGAGGAGAAUAGAUAGAAAGGAUUGACGUCUUGGAACCUAGUGUUGCCACCUCACAGCUCCAGGGUCCCUGGUUCAAUCCUGAGGUCAAGUUAAUGUCUGGGUGUAACUUCACAUGUUUUCCCCAUGUCCACAGUGGGUUUCCUCAGGGUUCUCUGGUUUCCUCCUAUCUCCCAAAAAACAUUCUCGUAGGUGGAAUUGAUGUGAUAAAUUGCCCCAAGGUGUGACCAAUCUUUACCAAUAAACCACUAUCUUAUUAUUACUGCGAGUGGUUUACCUACAGAUCUUCUUUUUUUUUUUUUGGCCUGUUGUUGUUGUUGUUGUUGUUGUUUGUUUUUGUUAAUGUCAUAGCCUUAUUACAUACUCAGUGAUGUGCUUUAUUGCAGAUUAUGUCGUAUUCACAGGUGCAGUCUGGUUGGUAAAUCUCAUUAGCAUAGCUUUGCUUGAAUUUGUGGCUUGACAGAUUGAAUCUGUGUCCAAUUUGCAAACUUGUCUCGUAAAAACUAAAAGCGCGUAUUAAAAUGGCCCACAACAUUUCUCUGUUCAUACAUCCAAAGGGAUAUUUAUAUUAAGAGUAAAUACAGCUGCAUUUAGUUUCAUUCACAGUGUGUCCUACGUGUAAGAACGAUAAAAAGGUAACGCUUAAUAUAUAUAACGGUGGUGCUAAAUAGUGCUCCGUACGACUUAUGACAACUAACAAACAUGCAUAACCAUGUUCGGCAGACUGAAGUGGUAUAAAUUUGUGUUGUGACUGUCAUGACUGUGACCAUUUAUAACCUUUUUAUGUAAAGUUAUGACAACUUCAUGACACGACAUGACAUUGAGUCAACUAUAUUUUCUCAGCCCCUAUAUUAGCAGGAGUUUGGUUGUGAGUUUGGCUUGACACUACUAACAUUAUUCGAAGUGCACUGCAGUACAAAGCCAGUUGUUAAGAUAGUGGAAUAUGAGUGUCAUAAAGUGUCAUAAGACAAACUUAGUUGAUAUGACAUCAAAUUUGACAAACCCAGUCAUAAGACUCAUGACAACUAACAAACAUGCAUAACCAUGUAUGAAGGCUUAUUAGAACAAAUGUCAGCUGUCAUUAAGAUUCUAUCUUUGUAUGUAUCUUUAUAUGUCUAUAAGUGACAUAGAUUUGUGUUGACGUAACAUGUUAUAAGGACUGUCAUGAAAACGGACUUUGCGUAUAUCAAAGUCACAAAAUGUUUAUAAUGUGACCAUUUUAAAUACCUAUGACAGAGUUACGGAUCGUUUUUACCCCUUAUAGAGAAUCGAGUUUACUUUGACCAUUUAUGACCUUUUUAUGUAAAGUUAUGACAACUUCAUGACAUGACACUGAGUCCACUAGAUUUUCUCAGCCCCUAUAUUAGCAGGAGUUUGGUUGUGAGUUUGGCUUGACACCAUUUGACACCAUUGGCUUGACAGUGGGGCAGUGGUGGCUUGGCGGUUAAGACUCUGAGUUACUGAUCGGAUGGUUGGGGGUUCAAGCCCCCGCACUGCCAAGCCGCCACUGUUGGGCCCUUGAGCAAGACUCUUAACCCUCUCUGCUCCAGGGGUGCCGUAUCGUGGCUGACCCCAGCUUCUGGGGUCUACUAUAUGUAUAAAGAAAUUUGACAACCCCAGGCAUUAUGGUGGCUGAUGGCAGUUGUAAUAAGCAAUCUGUUGUCAUGAAUGAUUUACACAGGUCUUAUGUAGCACUAUGAACACUUCCCUUCAGUAAUGUGUUACCAGUAAAGGACACCUUGCGUUUAAAAUUAUUGCUCAGAUCUGCAUCGAUGCACUUACAGCAGAGAUUGUAACCUUUCAUAUGUCAUUGAGACAAUGACAUACAGGAUGACCCCAGUGCUGUCGGUUGGCUAGCUUUUGCUGCAUCAUGCUUCCUGUUUGCCCUUCAAAUGUUGCGUCGUUGCUUUUCUCAUUAUGUGUAAGACGAGACCAGAUUCUAGCUUCACGUCUAACGAGUAAUCGUGUCUCGCUCUACAGCUGCAUUCACUUGCAGAUUAGAUGUUGCUUAUGGAUUACAAAGCACUCUUACUAAUCAGCCUUCUCCAUUUUACAAUCCUUUCUAAGACCCAGUGUUCUGACACAUGAUACCUUUUGCAAUAGAUAUAACCAAAAGACUUUAGAUCACCGUCAUCAUCAACCUGGCUGUCUCAGCAUAUUUCUAACACUCGGCAUCCGCCAGAUUCCGAUGAACACAGUGAAAAACGACACGAGACGUAAGAACACUUUCACGGACAAGGAUUACUGCAUUUCCAAUUGAAUACCUUUGCCAGGGAAAUGGAGACACUCUAAAUCUGCUUCACCUUAUAGCGUUUGUUCAUUUAGUGCCGAAAACUGAGGUACAAAUCGAACUUCUGCACACAGCUGUGUGCAGACUUGCUAAUCAUUGACUUUAUGAUUAUAUUCCUAUUCAUUUUGCACACCUGAUGCACUGCUUAUGCCAUCUGGGCUCUCUCUGUGAAGCUUUCGUGAUGGUAACGACCUUGCAGAGGGGUUUUUGUGGCACCUGCGGAUCGAAACCCCAUCCCAUCCGGAAGGAAUGAAGCCAUUUUCUUUGUGUUCUUUCCACUU